UUAUUCAUUUAUUCCACAAACAUGUUUUUGUUUGCCUACUAUGUGCCAGGCUCUGUUCUAGAUUCUCGGAAUAUAGCAGUGAACAAAACAGAUAAAACGUGCCUGCCCCUGUGGGACUGAGAUUCUAGUGGGGAAGACAGACAAUAAACAAAGUCAAUAAGUAAAUUGCCCUCUAUAGGGAAAUAAUGUGAUAUUAAGAACUGAGGCCUUUUGGGAAGUGAUUAAGUCUUGAGGGCUCUGCCCUCCGUGAAUGGAACUAUAAAAAAGGUUGAAGGGAGCUGGCUUGCCCCUUGCACCACAAGAGGACACAUAGAAGGUGCUGUCUUAUGAGGCAGAGAGCAUGCCCUCCCCAGACAGAGAACCUGUUGGCACCUUGAUCUUGGACUUCCCAGCCUCUAGAACCACAGGUUGUUAAACUGAACCAUCUUGACUGGCCCCAGCCAAGUUUCUUACAGUGGAAAUGGCACAUUAACUAUGCAGCUGUCAUGAGAGAAGUCAGUACUCUUAGAUUCUAACCCAAAAGAAUUCAAAUAUAUUGGAUUUCCUCUCCUGUUCAAUUGGAAUUCAAGGACUUAAUCCACUUUUAAUUACACUGUUCCUGUUGUUGCAUCAAAAGAUAGUUACUUUAGAAGAACAUGCCUGUAAACCUAUAAUUUUCACUACUCAGUGGACAUCAUUCAUCUUGAUAUGGUAUCUGCAGCCAGAAGUUUGGAUCACUGAGGGUGGGGAAAGGGUGGGGUUGUUAUGUGAUCAAAGGAAUCAUGGAACAGAGAAGACCCAUCUAGGUAACUUGUGAGGAUUCUUACACAUGUUAAUAUCAGUAAUUAAUGGGUUGCAGACAGGACAUUUUAAGAUAGAUUUUCAAAAUAACCAAGUUCUUUUUCAGGCAUUGUGAAUCAACCCAAAAUAAUGAGAACUAACAAAGUCAAAACAGCUUGUUCCAAUGGACAAUGGACACCUACUUGUAUCAAAAAGACUUUGCUGUUCCUGGAAGUACUGUUACUUGUUGAGGGUGUGAUGGCUUCAUGGCUUCGAGGUUACUUUGAGGAGCUGGGGUGCCGGCUGUGCGGGCCCUGAGGGCCCAGGGUCCCUGAGGGGUGGUUGAAGUGCACUCCAAUGCAUCUGGAGGUGAUGUUCUUACUGACAAUGAGCAGGUGACUGGGUUGGAGAGGGAUAUCAUGAUGGCUGCACGGAAGGGACUGGACCCAUAUAAUAUACUACCCCCAAAGGCAGCUUCAGGUACCAAAGAGGACCUUAAUUUAGCCCCCCUCCUUCACCAGCAGUGGGCAGCAUCUGUGAAGAGAAUAGUGCCAUCAUCUGGUUUUGGCUGGACAAAGGUGAGCCCCGGUGAUGCCCUGACUGGAAACUAUUACAAGCUGCCCCACCAGUGGGCCCACUGAGCCCCUGCACUAAGUUACUCAAAAUGUGCUAAAAAGUUUCUUCUUUUUAAUAAAAACUAGCCAUUGCAUUGGCUCCUUCUUCCAAAAACUAAAAAUAAAAAGACUUUGCUUUGUGGUUGGAGCUAUAAAAGAAUUGAUAACCCCGAUACUAAAGUAUACAACCAAGAAAAGUGUCAAAUAUAUAGUUGAUUUAGAACCUGGAUUAUGUUGAAGAAUUUUUGGUGUUCUGAGGGCUAUGUAAAAAUCUUGUAGACUAUGGGUGCUCCAGUCACUAGGCAGAUAAGCAUUUAUUAUACAUGAUUUGUAAAAUAAGGCAUUUAUAAUGUUAAAUAUUUCUAACAAUUCUAGAGAAUGUACCUUUCAAAAAAAUGGAAACUUAGAAACAUAUAUCCCUUGUCAUUUUCUUUCACUUUGAAUCUAUUAAUAGAUUCUUACAAAACAAAAAGUUUAAUAAAAAUUUUCUCACUCAGAUAUUUUGGAA
ensembl:lncRNA PDE7B-AS1 PDE7B antisense RNA 1